rnacentral:misc_RNA from 1 species
GAAUUGCGAUAAUUCAGGUGAAUUGCAGCUGGCGUGAAUCCUUGAGUCGUUGAACGCAAAUUGUGCCCCGAUUCGCGUCGGGGCGCGUUUGUUUGAGCGUCAAAUAUAAAUUCUCGCUGUCGCUUAACACGCGUGCAAGCGUAUAUGGGCUCCGGAACAAUCUUUUGAUUAGUACCGUUGUCUGAAAUGAAAGAGGGGACCGAACAAUUUAUCUUCGGUAAAAGAUCAUUCUGAGGAGCGAUUCUUGCCCAACUCUGCUGUUAAUUUACUUUGACUCGGAGAAGCUUGAAUAUUAACGCUAGAUCUCGUUUAGUCUUUUAUUGUUGUUUGCUCGUGAGAACCUAGUUUUUUUUAUAAAAAAACUCUUUUUAAAUUCUUGACCUCAAAUCAAGCGCGGCUACCCGCUGAAUUUAAGC